rnacentral:lncRNA from 1 species
AGUACACUGGGCAUUGAAUGGCAUUCAGAAACACAGAGAGGGUAAUCAGAAGACAUACUGGCGAGCAGAGAACAUCAGUACUGAUGGAAUGCCUCAGAAGCAUUGCUGAACAACAGCUAUGUGCUACACCUUUUUCCGGAUGAUGAAGUUCCACAGACUUGAGCUGCAUAAUCUGUCUUGCAGCUGUUCCAUCUGCUGAGACUGCAAGUGAGACAAGUGGCAUCUGCCCAGGACCUUGAGACAUUCACACCAGGGAAGCAUUUUAUGUCUUCUCUUUGACACAUCUGAAUGGCCAGCAUCAUCGUCCUGUGCUUUGGGGCUGUUAUUAGGCCUGUUCCUUUGCCAGUACCAUGCUGAUUUUAUCACAGUAGCUU